rfam:Tenacibaculum sp. LPB0136, complete genome.
UACCUUACUUUUGUUGCACAAUGAAUAAACAAUUAAACAUAUCUUGGUGGUGGAACUCUCUUAAUUAAUAAGUGAGAAUAAAUCCUAUAUGUAAAAAAUAUAAAAAAGGCUUAUC